AUUGAACGCUGGCGGCAGGCCUAACACAUGCAAGUCGAGCGAGCGGCGGACGGGUGAGUACUGUCUGGGAAACUGCCUGAUGGAGGGGGAUAACUACUGGAAACGGUAGCUAAUACCGCAUACCAUCAGAUGUGCCCAGAUGGGAUUAGCUAGUAGGUGGGGUAACGGCCAACCUAGGCGACGAUCCCUAGCUGGUCUGAGAGGAUGACCAGCCACACUGGCACUGGGACAAGGCCAAGACUCCGACGGGAGGCAGCAGUGGGGAAUAUUCCCCAAUGGGCGCAAGCCUUAUGCAGACAUGCCGCGUGAGUGAAGAAGGCCUUCGGGUUGUAGAGCACUUUCGGCAGGGAGGCGUUACCCACAGAAGAAGCACCGGCUAACUCCGUGCCAGCAGCCGCGGUAAUUC
rnacentral:rRNA from 1 species